rnacentral:rRNA from 1 species
AUUGAACGCUGGCGGCAGGCCCAACACAUGCAAGUCGAGCGGAUGAGGGAAGCUUGCUUCCCGAUUUAGCGGCGGACGGGUGAGUAAUGCCUAGGAAUCUGCCUAUUAGUGGGGGAUAACGUUCCGAAAGGAACGCUAAUACCGCAUACGUCCUACGGGAGAAAGUGGGGGAUCUUCGGACCUCACGCUAAUAGAUGAGCCUAGGUCGGAUUAGCUAGUUGGUGGGGUAACGGCUCACCAAGGCGACGAUCCGUAGCUGGUCUGAGAGGAUGAUCAGCCACACUGGAACUGAGACACGGUCCAGACUCCUACGGGAGGCAGCAGUGGGGAAUAUUGGACAAUGGGCGAAAGCCUGAUCCAGCCAUGCCGCGUGUGUGAAGAAGGUCUUCGGAUUGUAAAGCGCUUUAAGUUGGGAGGAAGGGUUGUAAGCUAAUAUCUUGCAGCUUUGACGUUACCAACAGAAUAAGCACCGGCUAACUCUGUGCCAGCCGCCGCCGUAACAC